UCCAACCUCCUUUUCCAUUAUCUGCAGAUGUGAAUUCUAUUGGUAUGCCCAAAGAAUUGACACCCUGGUAACUGGAUUAUAA
rnacentral:lncRNA from 1 species